UACGAAGGGGGCUAGCGUUGUUCGGAAUUACUGGGCGUAAAGCGCGCGCAGGCGGUCUUCCAAGUCAGUGGUGAAAGCCCGGAGCUCAACUCCGGAACUGCCAUUGAAACUGUUGGACUUGAGGACGAGAGAGGUGAGUGGAAUUCCCAGUGUAGAGGUGAAAUUCGUAGAUAUUGGGAAGAACACCGGUGGCGAAGGCGGCUCACUGGCUCGUUUCUGACGCUCAGGCGCGACAGCGUGGGGAUCAAACAGG
rnacentral:rRNA from 1 species